rnacentral:misc_RNA from 1 species
UUAGGGAUUGCUAUAGAUUACUUGUUAAUUGGUAUGCUAUUUUUUGCAUCAUUACGAAAAGUACUGAAUUUUGCCAUCUCUAAAAGGAAUCUAACAUAUUAAAUUGUUGGGCAUUACCCGGCGAUAAUAUUACAAUAUCGAUCUUUUGGAAGAGCCAAUCAGCUAAUUUCGACUUCGUUGAGCGUUUUGGCCCAAGAGCUCAGACCUUUCUUAUUUUUAACCGACUUCCAAAAAAGGAGGAGGAUCUCAAUUUGA